GGAAACUGGAUGUUCUCCUAAAACAGCCACCUAGCCAAGCUGAACCAACAGAGAUGUAUUGAUCACCGGGUCAAUGGAACUAGGUGGGUGCUGGGGGGAAAGUCAGCAGGUAAGUCAGGUGAGGACUGCCUCCCUUCCACUCCCCACCCAGAGACUGAAGACAGACAGACAGACAGAGGCGUUCAUUCAGAAAGAAGUAGGAGGGCUUCAGGGAUUCAGCGGAGGAGACUGAAAGCCUGAGAGACGAUGCCUCUGAGAAGGUUACAGACCUUGGGAGAAAGCGCUUUCACCUCCUCACCACAGACACUCUCGACUGUGGACUCAGGACACUAAGCCAGAAAGGUGACGAUUUCCUUCUUGAACCCGGCCUGCAUCAGCAGCUCAGACGAACCUGACAAGACUGACUAGCCAUCUCUAGCAUUCAGAUAGGUGGAACUUCAUUGUGCUGAAGUUAUGUUUGAGCACCCUCUGCUGGACAAAUCAGGUAAGUACAGGAUUUUUUUUUUUUUUUUUGGUCUUGUGCCUUUUAAAUUCAUGCUCCGAAGAAGAGAAGAUUUUUAUCUCGAAUCUACACUAAAAGAAGUCUCCUCUUUAAACAGAUGCUCUAUGACUACCAACAAUGUACCAGUGGUAUUCGUCUCUUGCAGAUCUGGAAGAAAAUGAAAUUUAGGUACAUACAGUCACGAACAGAUACCUAGAUGACACAUUUAAAACCCUCAAACACAGUGGAGAUGAGACCAGCAUAAUAUUAAGCUCUUCUCCCUCACAAACACCUGUGCUACCCACACUCACAGGCAAAAAAAAUAUACACAACUGCCAGACUGCAAUGCCUCCCAAUUUAUUGGCCAAAUCUAGAUUCUGCUAGCCCUGUAUAUUCACUCAGAAAGCCAGGCUUCAGACACACCAUGAGUGAUGAGAAAUCCAUUUCAUCAGCAGAGGCAUCUUGCCUAUCUUCAGGAAGCCUACAGACUUCCAGGGAAGCAGGGGGGAAAUCAAGAAUGUGAGCGAGCAGUCUCCUUCCUGCUGCUGCAGCUGCAAGCUGCUCCUGCCGCCCAUGCCUUCUCUACUGCCAUGCCUUCCCUACCACAAGGGCCAGAACUCUCACACUGAAAGCCAGAAUAAAUCCUUCCUCUCUUCGGUUGGUUGUUGUCAGGUAAUUGGUCCCAACCAUGGUAAAGCUUAGUGGAAAAGAAAAAAAAGGUAAAAAUCUAUUGUAGACUGAGUGCCCUGAAUCAGAAAACACACAGUCCAGCUGCUCUGAAAUCUAAGCAUCAUCGUGACACUACAAAGAGAAAACUCCAUAUCUGACCACACAUGAGAAUCUACUGAUGAAUACAACCAUGGGUUUACUAAAAAAAGGUGUAUAAAAUGAUCUUCAAGCUGCUCGUAUAAGAUAGGUAUGAAGUGUAAAUUGAAUUUUGGGUCUGACCCCCUAACAUAUUUUCCUGCGUGAAUACAAAUUCCCUCAAGUCCAAAUAACCCCACACUUGGGCGUUUCAGAUAGGGGAUACCCAAUCUGUAAGCCGUUUACUGCCAUAGAGAAGCUAUGAUGCAAGCAGAGCCUACUAACAACUUGGCCAAAACACUUCUAAUAACAGAACUUCACAUGGGUUUCCAUGAGGUCAGAAUGGAAGUAGGAGGAUACAUUGUUUGACGUCAUGGUAUCUGUCCAAUUAAGGUCUGUGUGAGCCUUCCAUCACCAUAACAAAACACAGAACAGAAUCAGCUUUUUAAGGGGGCUUAUUUUGGAUUAUGGUUGCAUAGGAAGAUAUAUAGAUAGGAUCUCCAUGCCAAUAUUUUUAAUGGGUGCUGUCUCUAUUGCUCUGGGCAGGAGAAGGCAGCAGCUGGCAUCAAUGGUGUGGUGAGGAGAGAAUCAAGUUUCCUUCUCCAGUUCAAACAGACGAAAGUGAAGCGACAUAGGCUCAAGGACAGGGUCACUGGGCUAGCGCCACACCAUGGAGCCAAACCCCGAGCCUUCUAAAUUGUGAGCUGGGCAUGGUGGUUCACCCCAGGAAUCGCAGCACUGAGGGAUGAAGGCGAGAGAGUCACUGUGGGUGUGACAUCAGUCUGGCCUGAAGUCUGAGACUGUUUUUUUAAAAAGAAAACAUUUUUUUAUGUCAUAUAUUUAAUUAUAUAAAGAUUCUGUUGUUUUGUUGUUGUUGUUGUUAAAAUUCAGCCAGGAAAUUUCCAUCUGUCUGGUGUUAAUUGGUUGUUUUUCAGCACUAAUUGGGAAAUGAUAUAUUUUUAUUGUUUUAUAAAUAGAGUAAAACCCCUCAGAAACUGCUGGGGAAAUUUAAACAAGGAAAGCAAUUCUAUGUCCUUGCUUGACACCAGUUUGUCCCAGAGGUGACACAACUGUGUAGUUUUUGAAAACACUGGGCA
rnacentral:lncRNA from 1 species